UGUCAUCAGAGGAAAUUUAAAACUGCCUCAGAUACCGUGCCUACACCGCUGACGAGAAAUCGUUAGUAGAAGCUUGUGAAGGUGGGAUCUGUUGUGGGGGCAUGACGACCCAAUUACUCUGAUAUCACUACUGUGGGUAAACUACUAAC